UACGAAGGGGGCGAGCGUUGUUCGGAGUUACUGGGCGUAAAGGGCGCGUAGGCGGCGAUCCAAGUUAGGCGUGAAAGCCCCGGGCUUAACCUGGGAAUUGCGCUUAAGACUGGACUGCUUGAGUGCGGGAGAGGUGAGUGGAAUUCCCAGUGUAGAGGUGAAAUUCGUAGAUAUUGGGAAGAACACCAGUGGCGAAGGCGGCUCACUGGACAUGUAUUGACGCUGAGGUACGAAAGCGUGGGGAGCAAACAGG
rnacentral:rRNA from 1 species